ACAGGCAAGCAAGCAAUAAUCUCAAGUUGUGGAAAUCUAUUCUGAUCAAAUAUGAUGAACUCAAGCUGGAAUGUAAGAGUAAAUCCUCAAGGAAUGCAUAUAUGGAUGGUAAAACUAUAAAAUCAAGGAAGUGAUUAUCACAGAAGAUGAAGAUUGGAUAUAAGUAACUUGAGUUGGGGAAAUCGCAGGGGUCAGCACAUCCGGAGUGCAAUGGAUAAGCCUCGCCCUGGGAAAACCACCUUCGUGAUCAUGGUAUCUCCCCUGCCAGUGAAUAAGAUGAAGAAGUCCAUCAGAAGUAGCAACCAGGAGAUCUUCCAGCACAGACUGCAAACUAUAGAAAAGUAAGCAUUUCAGAAUUAAUUUCCUUUUAACAGAGCACAUUAGGAAAACAUUGAGUGUAAACAGAAUUGCUCUGGCGAAUACUCAUGCAGAGAAGAUCAUGAAACCACUAAUAAAACCAUCAUUCAUCACAAUUUAGCUACACAGUAGUUCAAUCUAGAAUCAGAAAUUUUGGAAGAAAUGAAUGAUUAUGGGCAACCAUUGUCACAAACUUGAUGAACUGGGUUAAGAACUAGAAAUCCUGAAAUAGUAAAUUAGAAGAUGGAAGAGUAAGUGAUAGCUGACAAGACAGAGAAACCACAGAAAGAACUAAUGACAGGAUGACAAUCUGGGGCCAUGGAGUAGGGGGUAACAAUCCUCUAGCCCUGUCCAACAGAACUUUACCCAGUGAUAGAAAUCUUCUGUAUCUGUACUAUCAAAUAUGGUACCUCUAGCCACAUGUGAUGACUGUACCUGUAAAAUGUGGUCAGUGUGACACAGAAGUGAACUUCAGAUUGUGUUUACUUUUAACCAACAAUGUAAAAUAACCCUUUUUUGACUAGUGGCUACUGUCACACUAAAGAGAAUAGUUUUGGAUCACUGUAUUUAUAAGAGUAUCACUGAGCCUCACAUUGUUCAUUCAUACAACAAACGUUUACUAAGCCCAUGCUCUGUGAUAGAGAUUCACAGACUAAAAAAAAUACAGUUUCUCCCUCCCUUUAGAAGACCUCUCAGUCAAUCAAGUACUGAAAACUAACAACGUAGUAUGGUCUCAGCACUUAAUAAUAUUUGCAAAGAGAUUUAACAUUCACUUACCUAACAACAAAUACACACCUACUUUGGUUAUAUUACUCUUACAUGCCCAGCCCCUAGGGCAGUGCUAGUUAUAUUUGGCACUAAAUGUUUGUGGGAGCAAGGAAAGAAGGGGCGGAAAGGGCAAGAGAAAAGGGGAAUCAUAAAUGAGACUGCAAAGGUACUGGCAGAGAGAAAGAAAAAGAACCAGGGGAACUAGUGGAAAUGGGCAUCAAGAAAGCCAAGGGAAUAUUAAGAAAGAUUACUCGAGUAUCAAAUACUAUAAAGAAUUUAAGCAUAAGAAAGUGAAAAAAUAGUGUGUCUACAAAAUAUACUCUAUUACAUACUGUUAAAUUUCCUUUCAUACUUAAGAGUUUACUUCAGAAAUAUUUUAAUCCACAGUAGUUAAAAAAUGUUUUAAUUUUUAAACCUUCAAUUCUUUGGAAAGCUGGGUUCAGUGACUCAUUCCAUAAGGACUUCACACAAUAAAGAAUUCACUAUAUUUUCCCCCCAACAAAAAUAUUGAGUAGAAUACAUCCUGUUAUGCAGCUCCAUUUCUUAAACUUCAGAACAUUUGUAAUCAAUUAAA